rnacentral:rRNA from 1 species
UGAGUAACCUGCCCUUAACUCUGGGAUAAGCCUGGGAAACUGGGUCUAAUACCGGAUAUGACUCCUCAUCGCAUGGUGGGGGGUGGAAAGCUUUAUUGUGGUUUUGGAUGGACUCGCGGCCUAUCAGCUUGUUGGUGAGGUAAUGGCUCACCAAGGCGACGACGGGUAGCCGGCCUGAGAGGGUGACCGGCCACACUGGGACUGAGACACGGCCCAGACUCCUACGGGAGCAG